rnacentral:lncRNA from 1 species
CAGAGCCGAAAUCCCAGAGCACUGAAAGAGGAGCCAGUGUCAUGGGGCUUCUGGUUUCAGGACACACUGGAAAGGGUCCAGCCACUUUGUCACAAGCUACAUCUAUGGAGAGCACCGACCCCCGGCUACGGGUGAGACAGAUAAGAGGAUAACAGGGGGCAGGAGCUGACGGAGAAAGAAGGUGGCAAGACAGAGCAGACUGUGGGUUCCUUCAACAGGGUGAACAUGAGAGAUAGAAGCCACCGGUUUCUCCUGAUAGUGUGUAGAUGGGCAGAUCUGGCCUCAAUGGCAGAAGAUACUUGGGGAACUGGAGAAAGUACAGAGGGAGAUGUGAAAUCAGUUGGGUCAUCAAAAGAAGACGGGUGUACCACAAUUUGUUCCUCCACCUGCUGCCCAUGAACAUUUGGAUGGUUUCUAGUUUUUGGCUAUUACAAGUAAAGUUGUCAUGAACAUUUGC